rnacentral:rRNA from 1 species
UAAGGAAUAUUGCGCAAUGGGCGACAGCCUGACGCAGCGACGCCGCGUGGGGGAUGAAGGUCUUCGGAUUGUAAACCCCUUUCGGCAGGGAAGAUGGAACGGGUAACCGUUCGGACGGUACCUGCAGAAGCAGCCACGGCUAACUUCGUGCCAGCAGCCGCGGUAAUACGAAGGUGGCAAGCGUUGUUCGGAUUUACUGGGCGUACAGGGAGCGUAGGCGGUUGGGUAAGCCCUCCGUGAAAUCUCCGGGCCUAACCCGGAAAGUGCGGAGGGGACUGCUCGGCUAGAGGAUGGGAGAGGAGCGCGGAAUUCCCGGUGUAGCGGUGAAAUGCGUAGAGAUCGGGAGGAAGGCCGGUGGCGAAGGCGGCGGCUCUGGAACAUUUCUGACGCUGAGGCUCGAAAGCGUGGGGAGCAAACAGGAUUAGAUACCCGCGUAGUCCCUGAG